rfam:Mesorhizobium sp. LSHC420B00 scaffold0010, whole genome shotgun sequence.
GCCUAAAAUCUGAACAAUAUCAAUCACCGACAGCGGACUGAAAAUCCGCGUGUCGGUGGUUCGAAUCCGCCUCUGGGCA